GCCUUCGAAACUGGUUUUCUUGAGUGUAGGAUGAAGUAGGCGGAAUUUGUGGUGUAGCGGUGAAAUGCAUAGAUAUCGACGAGGAACUCCGAUUGCGCAGGCAGCUUACUAAGCCAGUAACUGACGCUCAGGCACGAAGGCGUGGGGAUCAAACAGGAUUAGAUACCCUGGUAGUCCACGCAGUAAACGAUGAUUACUCGCUGUUUGCGAUAUACGGCAAGCGGCUUAGCGAAAGCGUUAAGUAAUCCACCUGGGGAGUACGUUCGCAAGAAUGAAACCUCAAAGGAACUUGACGGGGGCCCGCACAAGCGGAGGAACAUGUGGUUUAAUUCGAUGAUACGCGAGGAACCUUACCCGGGCUUGAAAUGCGUCUGACAGGGGCGGAGACGCCUCUCCCUUCGGGGCAGAUGUGUAGGUGCUGCAUGGUUGUCGUCAGCUCGUGCCGUGAGGUGUCGGCUUAAGUGCCAUAACGAGCGCAACCCUCAUCAUUAGUUACCCAUCAGGUCAAGCUGGGGACUCUAGUGAGACUGCCAUCGUAAGAUGCGAGGAAGGUGGGGAUGACGUCAAAUCAGCACGGCCCUUACGUCCGGGGCGACACACGUGUUACAAUGGGUGGUCAAAAGGGGCAGCUACAUGGCGACAUGAUGCUAAUCUACCAAAACCCGUCUCUCGAGUUACGGAUACGGAGUCUCGCAACUCGACUCGUGAAGCUGGAUUCGCUAGUAAUCGCGCAUCAG
rnacentral:rRNA from 1 species